UUGCACCACGCCCACGAUAACAUAAUUAUAUAAAUAGGGUCCUAAACGAACUAUUGCAUACAUACCACACUUUCCUUUUGCUUCCUGUGUAAGUCUCGUCAAGGAUGACUUCAAAAAUGAAAAUCACGUUACCGUUAGCUUUCAUUUUGUUCGCUGUAUUCAUGGCUGCAAUGCCAGGAUCUCUUGGAGCUCCUGAAGGAACCUGCCCAGAAACUGAUGUCACAACAGUUUACUUGCCGGACGAUGCGCGCUGCGAGUGGUUUUACAUCUGCUCUAACGGCAAUCCAGUGCGCCAAUCGUGUCCACCCGGAAUGGAUUGGAACAGAUCCUACAACAUCUGCGAUUAUCCUGGUAAUGCAAAUUGCCCCUUCAAUUAGUCGUCGUCUCCUCGUCGUACAAGAAUUCCGCUGGGCGUAAUCAAAAAGAGGUUUCAGAAUCAUCGUUAAUCAUAUUAAUUUGCAAUAAUAAAUCAGAAGAACAAGAAUGCCAUGCCAUGAAAUUAUAGGAACAAUUAAAUUUCUAUGGCUGCCGUUAA